GAUGAACGCUGGCGGCGUGCCUAAUACAUGCAAGUCGAGCGAACGGACGAGAAGCUUGCUUCUCUGAUGUUAGCGGCGGACGGGUGAGUAACACGUGGAUAACCUACCUAUAAGACUGGGAUAACUUCGGGAAACCGGAGCUAAUACCGGAUAAUAUUUUGAACCGCAUGGUUCAAAAGUAAAAGACGGUCUUGCUGUCACUUAUAGAUGGAUCCGCGCUGCAUUAGCUGGUUGGUAAGGUGACGGCUUACCAAGGCAACGAUGCAUAGCCGACCUGAGAGGGUGAUCGGCCACACUGGAACUGAGACACGGUCCAGACUCCUACGGGAGGCAGCAGUAGGGAAUCUUCCGCAAUGGGCGAAAGCCUGACGGAGCAACGCCGCGUGAGUGAUGAAGGUCUUCGGAUCGUAAAACUCUGUUAUUAGGGAAGAACAUAUGUGUAAGUAACUGUGCACAUCUUGACGGUACCUAAUCAGAAAGCCACGGCUAACUACGUG
rnacentral:rRNA from 1 species